rnacentral:rRNA from 1 species
CGGGGUGCACCAGGCGCGAAAACUUUACAAUGCGGGAAACCGUGAUAAGGGGACACCGAGUGCCAGCAUCAUAUGCUGGCUGUCCAGGUGUGUAAAAUACACCUGUCAGCAAGGGCCGGGCAAGACCGGUGCCAGCCGCCGCGGUAACACCGGCGGCCCGAGUGGUGAUCGUGAUUAUUGGGUCUAAAGGGUCCGUAGCCGGUUUGGUCAGUCCUCCGGGAAAUCUGACGGCUCACCCGUUAGGCUUUCGGGGGAUACUGCCAGGCUUGGAACCGGGAGAGGUAAGAGGUACUACAGGGGUAGGAGUGAAAUCUUGUAAUCCCUGUGAGACCACCUGUGGCGAAGGCGUCUUACCAGAACGGGUUCGACGGUGAGGGACGAAAGCUGGGGGCACGAACCGGAUUAGAUACCCGGGUAGUCCCAGCCGUAAACGAUGCUCGCUAGGUGUCAGGCAUGGCGCGACCGUGUCUGGUGCCGCAGGGAAGCCGUGAAGCGAGCCACCUGGGAAGUACGGCCGCAAGGCUGAAACUUAAAGGAAUUGGCGGGGGAGCACAAGGGCGAA